UUCAAGUUUUCAAAUUUGUAUUGAUAUAAAAAUAAUCAAGUAUAUAUUGUUAUUUUGUGAUAGUUAUUAUGAUGAGUAUAAUUUACAGAAGUUAUAUUGUUAAUAACGAAAAUAUGAAAUCAUAUUUUCUAUGGUUACUUAUGAAAAGUUGAUAAUAAUUAAAAUAAUUCAAUAAUUACGCACUUACAAAGAUAAUAUCAAUUUUAAUAUACGUUUGUCGUCGUUGGUUAUUACUUAGUAACAUAAAAUAUUUAUCAUUUCCCUAACUUUUGAAACCAAAAAUAUCACUCUUUUUAAAUCACUAAAAAAGUGGGUCAUAGUUGUUAUAAGCAUUAAAAAUAAUUAUUCUUAAAAAAAUGUAUUUUCUCGUCGGUAGUAUACCUACAAUUUAUAAUAUCGUUAAUAUCAAGUAUAGUAUAAUUUUGUGAAUAAAUAAUAAGAAACAGUCUUAUUUGUUUAUUCCGAUCAUUAUACACGAAAUGGUAGUUUUUUUUUAAAUCCAAACUACUAAUAGCCACGGUGUAGUACGAUUUCAAACAUUUGAAAACAGUGCUGUCUGUCUGGAUAACAUUUAUCUAACCUAUAUUAUACUAAUAUAUGCCUUGUAUAGUAAUAAUAUUAUUGUUGUAGUACUGUGUGUUUAGUAAAUUGCCAAUACGAUAAUGUAACACAGCUGACAAGUGUUCCGUGUGUGACGGACAGCAAUGUUGGAAUCAUUAUUUUGAAACACGUAUUGGUUGCAGUGCAGUUUGACGAGUAUGAAUUAGGAUUACAAAUUUAAAACUCAAACAUUUCGAUGAUAUAUUUUACGGGGUGUAAGCUAUGCGAGAAGGCGUAGAGUGUAUAGGUGAACGGUCUUGUUAAACAACCACUAACAAACGAUGAUGGUUUUCAUAACAAGGCGAGCAUGAGUCAUAAAAAAAAAAAUAUAUAUCCGACACAAAAGUAUUUGACUCACAGACUGCAAACACGAUAAUAUAAUAACAACAAAAUACGAGAGGGGCAUAAUGAUAUUUUUGGGUAUUAUUUAAUAUAGCCAGAUGUGCAUCGUGACGGAUAUACCUCAUUUGUCGUCCACUAGCCCCAUAGUAUGUGAAAUACUUCAGUUUUCAUUUCAGACAUCAUCGUUAACUUACAGACACUGGCAUAUUUCCUCGUGAUGAUAUUGAAGUCAUGAGACUUUGUUACUUCGGAGGUACAACGUUAUUGUUUUCAGACAUAUUAUUUUGUAUAACAUAAAAUACGAUUUAUGCGAAA